GCUUGCUCCUUUGACGUUAGCGGCGGACGGGUGAGUAACACGUGGGUAACCUACCUAUAAGACUGGGAUAACUUCGGGAAACCGGAGCUAAUACCGGAUAAUAUUUCGAACCGCAUGGUUCGAUAGUGAAAGAUGGUUUUGCUAUCACUUAUAGAUGGACCCGCGCCGUAUUAGCUAGUUGGUAAGGUAACGGCUUACCAAGGCGACGAUACGUAGCCGACCUGAGAGGGUGAUCGGCCACACUGGAACUGAGACACGGUCCAGACUCCUACGGGAGGCAGCAGUAGGGAAUCUUCCGCAAUGGGCGAAAGCCUGACGGAGCAACGCCGCGUGAGUGAUGAAGGUCUUCGGAUCGUAAAACUCUGUUAUUAGGGAAGAACAUACGUGUAAGUAACUAUGCACGUCUUGACGGUACCUAAUCAGAAAGCCACGGCUAACUACGUGCCAGCAGCCGCGGUAAUACGUAGGUGGCAAGCGUUAUCCGGAAUUAUUGGGCGUAAAGCGCGCGUAGGCGGUUUUUUAAGUCUGAUGUGAAAGCCCACGGCUCAACCGUGGAGGGUCAUUGGAAACUGGAAAACUUGAGUGCAGAAGAGGAAAGUGGAAUUCCAUGUGUAGCGGUGAAAUGCGCAGAGAUAUGGAGGAACACCAGUGGCGAAGGCGACUUUCUGGUCUGUAACUGACGCUGAUGUGCGAAAGCGUGGGGAUCAAACAGGAUUAGAUACCCUGGU
rnacentral:rRNA from 1 species